AAUUGCCUCAUUUGCCUCUAAGACUCUGGGAGGUAGCUAAGGGGUUACUGUCAUCCUUACUUUAUUUUUUUUUUCUUUUCUUCUUCUAUUUUUUUUUUCUGUGUACUCUCCUAUAAGCAUCUUCACUUUAAAGAGGAAGAAACUGUCUCAAAGAGAUUAAACGACUCUACUCAUCUGAGCUAACCCAACAACCGAGUCCGGCUGUCGUGACACUACCAAGAACUCUGCCUAAGUGAGUCGCAAAAGCAACCCUUAGAUUUCACACGUUGUGCAUGGGUAAUGGUUGAGUGAAGGAUCUCAGUGGAUCCGUAGUGCGUAUGCAUGAAACGUUUGUUCUUCAAAUAACUGCUACCAAUUGCUUUGUAGACAGCCUCCCUCCACCUUUCCAGCCGGAAAGAGUCUCCACUUAAUCACUUCUCAGAAUGAUUCUGUAACUUCCCAUUACUUUUUGGUUAAUAAAAUCUAAUUUCAGUUAGCUCCCUUCCUUCCUAGAGCAGGCAGUCUGGGAUGGCCCUGGGUUUGGAGUUGGGUAGCGCGGCCAGGUGACGGUCUCCUUCCCUGGGCCGUCAGGGCUGCAGGCGGCUGUGACACUCCGGAGGCCUCGACAGAGGGGUCCCAGGCGCAGCGUACCCGGGCUCCUCUUGCCUCAGCGGAGCGUCCCACGGCAGUCCCGGACCCGCGCCUCUCCCGCCCGGCUCCUGCACGCCCAGCGAGCCUGCAGCCUGGGAUCCUCCGCUCCUGCAUCCCGGCUCGGGAUGGGUCCCGGCUCCCCACCUCACGCCGGCGGGGCCACCCUUUCACUCCGCCUCCAUCUGCUCUGUGGUCCGCGCUCGCUCCUGAAGUUAGGCGUAUACACCACCUUCCAACUGGGACAGAAGAUAUCAGUCUCGCUUUCUCUCAGACGCCCACGAAGUUGAGACUGCAUUCUUCUGAAGAUUCACUACUCCCUCGUUUAGGGAGAAGUACCAGCUAGUGCGCCCGUCUCCCACCGCCUUUCCUGCCCCCACUGCGUCCUUGACCCAGACCUUUCACUGUGGAUUUAAAGCAGCCCUUAAAAUAGUAGG
rnacentral:lncRNA from 10 species